rnacentral:rRNA from 1 species
CACGUAGGGUGCGAGCGUUGUCCGGAAUUAUUGGGCGUAAAGAGCUCGUAGGCGGUGUGUCGCGUCGGCCGUGAAAACCUGCAGCUUAACUGUGGGCUUGCGGUCGAUACGGGCAUCACUGGAGAUCGGCAGGGGAGACUGGAAUUCCUGGUGUAGCGGUGAAAUGCGCAGAUAUCAGGAGGAACACCGAUGGCGAAGGCAGGUCUCUGGGCGAUUAACUGACGCUGGAGGAGCGGAAAGCAUGGGGAGCGAACAGG